GGCGGUAUUUUAGUUUUGUCAGAGGAACUUGUUCUGUAAGCGAUAAAACCCGUAGGAUCUUACUUACUUUAGGUUUAUAGUUUGUAUACCGUCAUUAUUAAAUAAUCUUGAAAAGGAUAAUUAUUGAGAUUAAUAAGAUUAAAUAUAUUAGAUCAAGGUGCAGCUGAUAGGUAAGUAGAAAUGAGUUACAAUAAUAUUUAGUUAAAACGAAUUAUAAAUAGAAUUAUUUAUAAAGAAGGUGGAUAUGAUUGUAAGGGGAAUUUAAUAAGUUUUUCUGAUAUAACUCUAAAUUAUGUACAUAUCGCCCGUCGCUCGCGGGAAAAA
rnacentral:rRNA from 1 species